GAUGAACGCUGGCGGCGUGCCUAAUACAUGCAAGUCGAGCGAACAGACGAGGAGCUUGCUCCUCUGACGUUAACGGCGGACGGGUGAGUAACACGUGGAUAACCUACCUAUAAGACUGGGAUAACUUCGGGAAACCGGAGCUAAUACCGGAUAAUAUAUUGAACCGCAUGGUUCAAUAGUGAAAGACGGUUUUGCUGUCACUUAUAGAUGGAUCCGCGCCGCAUUAGCUAGUUGGUAAGGUAACGGCUUACCAAGGCGACGAUGCGUAGCCGACCUGAGAGGGGGAUCGGCCACACUGGAACUGAGACACGGUCCAGACUCCGACGGGAGGCAGCAGUAGGGAAUCUUCCGCAAUGGGCGAAAGCCUGACGGAGCAACGCCGCGUGAGUGAUGAAGGUCUUCGGAUCGUAAAACUCUGUUAUUAGGGAAGAACAAAUGUGUAAGUAACUAUGCACGUCUUGACGGUACCUAAUCAGAAAGCCACGGCUAACUACGUG
rnacentral:rRNA from 1 species